rnacentral:misc_RNA from 1 species
AUGCAUUGUACUCUGCUCUUGAGAGGGCUGGUGGUGGUUCUCUGGAGGUAGUUGUGUCGGAAAGUGGCUGGCCGUCCGCUGGAGCUUUUGCAGCCACAUUUGAUAAUGGGCGCACUUAUCUCUCAAAUUUGAUCCAGCAUGUUAAAGGAGGUACUCCUAAGAGGCCUGGCAGAUUUAUAGAGACUUACCUAUUUGCCAUGUUUGAUGAAAAUCAAAAGCAACCGGAGCUU